CCAAGUACACCCUCAACACCAACCUACACCCCAACACCUACUACACCUUCAACACCCACAUACACCCCAACUCCUACUACACCUUCAACACCCACAUACACCCCAACUCCCACUACUCCUGAUAUUCUAACUCCUCCAUCUAUUGAUCCAAACACUCCAACCACUCCAACCUUUCCUGGAAUUUUCACACCACCUUCUUCUUCAUUUCCUCCAUUGUUGCCUGACCCCAACUCACCUACUCCACUCUUCCCUGGUACUUGCACGUAAGUCGCUACCUUCACAUAUUUUUCAUGGUUAAGUUGGUUGUAUUUUUUUGUUCUGAAGUUCUUCAUGUGUUUGAUUAUUAUGAAUUAACAGCAUUUAUGUUAAUCUUUUGUAGUUAC
rnacentral:lncRNA from 1 species